CAGGCUACUGGAUGGGCGGGGUGAUAGGUGCCUGUACCAUGACACCGAUUCACUCAUUUUUCCUGUUAGCUGGAUAAAUCAUGGACCAUGCCGAGAAAAUGUAUCUGGUGUCGUGUCAUCAGAUGGAGUAACUACAGGGCAGGCCACCUACUACGGGAGCUACAGCCACUAACUGGUUGGACGACAAGAUGCCCACCAUUCUUCAGAGAUCUGAUUUGUGUGAGGAUGACAAGAUUCUGUACUUCAGAGGUAUCUAAGACUGACCAGACAAAAUGAGUCUGAAAAGGACAGACUGAAUCUCAUUUGUCCAUUGGAAGAACCUCGACCACUUCCAAUAUUACCAGAACAGCUGCCACAGCCAUCUCUGCAGGCCACAGCAAUGGAUGAGAUCCUAAGGGGUGUGGGCACCUGUUACAGGAAAAAUGCGAAACUUUUGCUGAACAAAAUGAAACAGCAUCAGGACGUCUCAACCUGGAAUGAUCGUGGUACUUUAUAUACAAAGGUGUCCCUAUUCCUGGUACUAAUAUUUUAGACUUGGUGAAAGGAGCCUUGCAACACCAAGCCCCUACUGAGAAGGGAAACCUAAAGGCUGAGAUGACUUUAUGAAUGCUAUGGCUGAGGUUAAUGUUCCAACCUCUGUGUUGGGGUCUACUGCUGUUAAAGAGCAAAUAGAAAAGCUGAAAGAUUCUCUGGUUGUUAAGGAUGAAAUUGCUACUGGCCCUGUCUCUGUUAUGACAGCCCCUUUUGGGGCUCAGAAGCCUCUGUUUACAGGCACACCCUCCAGCCCCUGGACAUUAAAUCCUAGAAGUAGGCUCAGGUUUGGUGACUGGUUCAAUUUGUAAAAUAAAAACACAGUGAAACAAGUAAAAA